rnacentral:rRNA from 1 species
UACGUAGGGUGCAAGCGUUAAUCGGAAUUACUGGGCGUAAAGCGUGCGCAGGCGGUUGUGCAAGACAGAUGUGAAAUCCCCGGGCUCAACCUGGGAAUUGCAUUUGUGACUGCAUGGCUAGAGUUUGUCAGAGGGGGGUGGAAUUCCACGUGUAGCAGUGAAAUGCGUAGAUAUGUGGAGGAACACCGAUGGCGAAGGCAGCCCCCUGGGAUGUGACUGACGCUCAUGUACGAAAGCGUGGGGAGCAAACAGG